rnacentral:rRNA from 1 species
GAUGAACGCUGGCGGCGUGCCUAAUACAUGCAAGUCGAGCGAACGGACGAGAAGCUUGCUUCUCUGAUGUUAGCGGCGGACGGGUGAGUAACACGUGGAUAACCUACCUAUAAGACUGGGAUAACUUCGGGAAACCGGAGCUAAUACCGGCUAAUAUUUUGAACCGCAUGGUUCAAAAGUGAAAGACGGUCUUGCUGCCACUUAUAGAUGGAUCCGCGCUGCAUUAGCUAGUUGGUAAGGUAACGGCUUACCAAGGCAACGAUGCAUAGCCGAACUGAGAGGGUGAUCGGCCACACUGGAACUGAGAAACGGACCAGCCUCCUACGGGAGGCAGCAGUAGGGAAUCUUCCGCAAUGGGCGAAAGCCUGACGGAGCAACGCCGCGUGAGUGAUGAAGGUCUUCGGAUCGUAAAACUCUGUUAUUAGGGAAGAACAUAUGUGUAAGUAACUGUGCACAUCUUGACGGUACAUAAUCAGAAAGCCACGGCUAACUACGUG